rnacentral:rRNA from 1 species
CGCCUCUUGACUAUAAGAGGUCCAGCCUGCCCGGUGAAAUUAACGGCCGCGGUAUCCUAACCGUGCAAAGGUAGCACAAUCACUUGUUUUUUAAAUAAAGACUAGUAUGAAUGGCGCCACGAAAAUUAAACUGUCUCUUUUUUUCAAUCAGUGAAACUAAUCUCCCCGUGAAGAAGCGGGGAUUCCAAUAUAAGA